GGUGGCUCAGUGGUAGAGCGCUUGCCUCGAACGCAUGAGGCCCUGUGUUUGAUUCCUCAGCACCA
rnacentral:tRNA from 1 species